rnacentral:rRNA from 1 species
GACGAACGCUGGCGGCGUGCUUAACACAUGCAAGUCGAACGGAAAGGCCCUGCUUUUGUGGGGUGCUCGAGUGGCGAACGGGUGAGUAACACGUGAGUAACCUGCCCUUGACUUUGGGAUAACUUCAGGAAACUGGGGCUAAUACCGGAUAGGAGCUCCUGCUGCAUGGUGGGGGUUGGAAAGUUUCGGCGGUUGGGGAUGGACUCGCGGGUUAUCAGCUUGUUGGUGGGGUAGUGGCUUACCAAGGCUUUGACGGGUAGCCGGCCUGAGAGGGUGACCGGCCACAUUGGGACUGCGGUACGGCCCAGACUCCUACGGGAGGCAGCAGUGGGGAAUAUUGCACAAUGGGCGGAAGCCUGAUGCAGCAACGCCGCGUGCGGGAUGACGGCCUUCGGGUUGUAAACCGCUUUCGCCUGUGACGAAGCGUGAGUGACGGUAAUGGGUAAAGAAGCACCGGCUAACUACGUG